UACGAAGGGGGCUAGCGUUGCUCGGAAUCACUGGGCGUAAAGGGUGCGUAGGCGGGUCUUUAAGUCAGGGGUGAAAUCCUGGAGCUCAACUCCAGAACUGCCUUUGAUACUGAGGAUCUUGAGUUCGGGAGAGGUGAGUGGAACUGCGAGUGUAGAGGUGAAAUUCGUAGAUAUUCGCAAGAACACCCGUGGCGAAGGCGGCUCACUGGCCCGAUACUGACGCUGAGGCACGAAAGCGUGGGGAGCAAACAGG
rnacentral:rRNA from 1 species